rnacentral:rRNA from 1 species
GAGUUUGAUCGUGGCUCAGGAUGAACGCUGGCGGCGUGCCUAAUACAUGCAAGUCGAGCGAACGGACGAGAAGCUUGCUUCUCUGAUGUUAGCGGCGGACGGGUGAGUAACACGUGGAUAACCUACCUAUAAGACUGGGAUAACUUCGGGAAACCGGAGCUAAUACCGGAUAAUAUUUUGAACCGCAUGGUUCAAAAGUGAAAGACGGUCUUGCUGUCACUUAUAGAUGGAUCCGCGCUGCAUUAGCUAGUUGGUAAGGUAACGGCUUACCAAGGCAACGAUGCAUAGCCGACCUGAGAGGGUGAUCGGCCACACUGGAACUGAGACACGGUUCAGACUCCUACGGGAGGCAGCAGUAGGGAAUCUUCCGCAAUGGGCGAAAGCCUGACGGAGCAACGCCGCGUGAGUGAUGAAGGUCUUCGGAUCGUAAAACUCUGUUAUUAGGGAAGAACAUAUGUGUAAGUAACUGUGCACAUCUUGACGGUACCUAAUCAGAAAGCCACGGCUAACUACGUCG